rnacentral:rRNA from 1 species
GAUGAACGCUGGCGGCGUGCCUAAUACAUGCAAGUCGAGCGAACGGACGAGAAUCUUGCUUCUCUGAUGUUAGCGGCGGACGGGUGAGUAACACGUGGAUAACCUACCUAUAAGACUGGGAUAACUUCGGGAAACCGUAGCUAAUACCGGAUAAUAUUUUGAACCGCAUGGUUCAAAAGUGAAAGACGGUCUUGCUGUCACUUAUAGAUGGAUCCGCGCUUCAUUAGCUAGUUGGUAAGGUAACGGCUUACCAAGGCAACGAUGCAUAGCCGACCUGAGAGGGUGAUCGGCCACACUGGAACUGAGACACGGUCCAGACUCCUACGGGAGGCAGCAGUAGGGAAUCUUCCGCAAAGGGCGAAAGCCUGACGGAGCAACGCCGCGUGAGUGAUGAAGGUCUUCGGAUCGUAAAACUCUGUUAUUAGGGAAGAACAUAUGUGUAAGUAACUGUGCACAUCUUGACGGUACCUAAUCAGAAAGCCACGGCUAACUACGUG